rnacentral:rRNA from 1 species
UACGGAGGGUGCGAGCGUUGUCCGGAUUUAUUGGGUUUAAAGGGUGCGUAGGCGGCUUUUUAAGUCUGGGGUGAAAGCCCGCUGCUCAACAGCGGAACUGCCCUGGAUACUGGAGAGCUUGAGUACAGACGAGGUUGGCGGAAUGGACGGAGUAGCGGUGAAAUGCAUAGAUACCGUCCAGAACCCCGAUUGCGAAGGCAGCUGACUAGGCUGUUACUGACGCUGAGGCACGAAAGCGUGGGGAGCGAAC